GAUGAAGAACGUAGCGAAAUGCGAUACUUGGUGUGAAUUGCAGAAUCCCGUGAACCAUCGAGUCUUUGAACGCAAGUUGCGCCUCAAGCCAUUAGGUUGAGGGCACGUCUGCCUGGGCGUCACAUAUCGUUGCCUGAUGCCAGUUUCCUCGUGAUGGGUGACUGUGCAGGGCGAAUGAUGGCUUCCCGUGAGCAUUGUUGCCUCAUGGUUGGUUGAAAAUUGAGUCCUUGGUAGGGAGCGCUGUGAUAGAUGGUGGUUGAGUGACGAACGAGACCCAAUCAUGUGAGACCCCUACCGAAUUUGGCCUUCAUGACCCACAUGCGUCUUUGGAACGCUCAUGACGAGACCUCAGGUCAGGCGGGGCUACCCGCUGAGUUCAAGCAUAUCAAUAAGCGGAGGA
rnacentral:misc_RNA from 1 species